rnacentral:rRNA from 1 species
GGGUUCUACCGUCGGUCGGGCUAACAAGUCUGUACUGGUGUGUAGAAUUUCUACCUUCUGGGGAACUAUCAUGUUAUUAAUUUAGCGUGGUGGGAAACCAGGACCUUUACCUUGAAAAAAUUAGAGUGUUCAAAGCAGGCUUACGCCCGAAUACAUUAGCAUGGAAUAAUAGAAUAGGACGUGCGGUUCUAUUUUGUUGGUUUCUGAAUCACCGUA